rnacentral:lncRNA from 1 species
CUUUGGAGCAGUCCCUCUGAGCUAUCUGAGAGGCUGUCCCCCGGGCUACAGUCCUCAGAAAGGUUCCCAGGUGACUGUGACACACACCCUCUCUCUCACAAACACACUCUCUCUCACACACAUGCCUUCUCUCUCCACAUACACUCUCUUGCACACAUACUUGCACACACAUAUCUUCUCUCUCACACACACAGAUACACAUUCUCUCUCAUACACACACACACACACACACACACCCCUUUUUCUGUCACAUACACCCUCUCUCUCUCUCACAUACUCUCACACACACUAUACCUCACACACAUACCUUCUCUUUCCAUACACACAUAUACACUCUCAUACACACACCCCUUUUUCUCUCAUAUACACCCUUUCUCACACACACUCUCACACACAUACCUUCUCUCUCACACACACUUGUACACAUACCCUCUCUCACAUACAUAUCUUCUCUCUCACACACACACACCUUUCUCUUACACACACACUCCCUUUCUGUCUCAUUACAUCCUUUCACGCACAUACUAUCACACACAUACCUUCUCUUUCACACAAACUCUCGUGCACACACACAACCCUUUCUCUUACAUACUCUCUCUCACACACACACACACACCCUUUCUGUCUCAUUACACCCUCUCACACACUGUCUCUCACACACAUACCUUAUCUCUCACACAAACUCGCACACAUACUCUCUCGCACACACACACACCUCUUUCUUCCUUAUAUACACCUUGUCUCUCACGCACAAUCUGUCAUACUCAUACCUACUCUCUCUCUCACACACAUACACCCUCUCUCACACAUCCCCUCUCUCUGCCACACACUAUCUCUCUCAUUCACACUCACACACACCCUCUCAGAGACACACCCCCCAAAUCACACACACACCCUCUUUCUCUCUCUGUCUCUCACACACACACCCCCCAAAAUGUAUAGCAGUAAGGAACUUGAACUCUGGAACUCCUUGUGCAUCAUGUACUAGGGUAUGUGACCUUGUAUGUGUAUUUUAACCCCCGU